rnacentral:rRNA from 1 species
AUGGCCGUUCAAUUUUGCCCCAUGAAUACGCACUAUCUGAGUGGGUUUUGGCAGAUCAUUGUUCUCAAUGUGCUGCAUUGCUCUUUCUGCAACAAGCGAAGCCAAUCCUUCCUCGUCAGCUACUUGCCACCAGGGCUGAGACUUCCUGUCUUGUUCCCAAGGUGGAUCCAUCUCAUAGCAUGCCUUCUUCGGUUUCUUCGGAAACAAAGGAUCAAAAGUUUUGAAGUCCAUAACCUCUUUAUCCUCGUGAAGGAAGUUAUUGGAAUUUCCUCUGCACUUGAGACUCGUUUGAGGGCACCCUUCGCAAGGUGCUUCAGAUGUUUGCUUCAUAAAAGCCGUCGAAAUCAUCCACGGUGGCUCAGAAGGGCACUCGCUCUUCUUCGUGUUGAUGUCGUCAAGAGUAGAGACAGGCGAGAAACUGUCCACUUUCUUGGCAUUGGCUUCUCCGCCCAUGUAAUUCAGAUGCUCGCCAGAAAGCACCUUGUGGCACCCGAAAUUGGGCUGCAGCUGAAGAAACCAGGCAUCUAUUGGCUGAUUGGAGUUCAUCGGGUUCCAGUUCAAAUGCAUGAAAUUCGGGAUGUGGCAGUCUCGCGGACUGGUGGGGUUCCCGCUGUUUGCUUCAUGCUGUUGCAUUGUCGGUGGACAGCAGGCCAGUUUUGGAGCUCUCUUUGCAUCCUCCUGAAAUAA